rnacentral:piRNA from 1 species
UAAAGGAUUGUGGAGACCAAGUUUGAUUGG